rnacentral:rRNA from 1 species
GACGAACGCUGGCGGCGUGCUUAACACAUGCAAGUCGAACGGUGAAGGUGGAGCUUGCUCCGCCGGAUCAGUGGCGAACGGGUGAGUAACACGUGGGCAACCUGCCCCUGACUUCGGGAUAACUCCUCGAAAGAGGUGCUAAUCCCGGAUACGAAUCCUGCAGGCAUCUGCGGGAUUGGAAAGUUUUUCGGUCAGGGAUGGGCCCGCGGCCUAUCAUCUUGUUGGUGGGGUCGUGGCUCACCAAGGCGACGCCGGGUAGCCGGCCUGAGAGGGCGACCGGCCCCACUGCGACUGAGACACGGCCCAGACUCCUACGGGAGGCAGCAGUGGGGAAUAUUGCGCAAUAGGCGAAAGCCUGACGCAGCAACGCCGCGUGAGGGAUGACGGCCUUCGGGUUGUAAACCUCUUUCAGCAGGGAAGAAGCGAAAGUGACGGUACCUGCAGAAGAAGCACCGGCUAACUACGUGCCAGCCGCCGCCGUAA